UACGUAGGGUGCGAGCGUUGUCCGGAAUUAUUGGGCGUAAAGAGCUCGUAGGCGGUGUGUCGCGUCGGCCGUGAAAACCUGCAGCUUAACUGUGGGCUUGCGGUCGAUACGGGCAUCACUGGAGUUCGGCAGGGGAGACUGGAAUUCCUGGUGUAGCGGUGAAAUGCGCAGAUAUCGGGAAGAACACCAAUGGCGAAGGCAGCUCUCUGGGACGGUACUGACGCUGAGACGCGAAAGCGUGGGGAGCGAUCCGG
rnacentral:rRNA from 1 species